UUAAGCGACUAAGCGUACACGGUGGAUGCCCUGGCAGUCAGAGGCGAUGAAGGGCGUGCUAAUCUGCGAUAAGCGCCGGUAAGGUGAUAUGAACCGUUAUAACCGGCGAUACCCGAAUGGGGAAACCCAGUGUGACUCGUCACACUAUCAUUAACUGAAUCCAUAGGUUAAUGAGGCGAACCGGGGGAACUGAAACAUCUAAGUACCCCGAGGAAAAGAAAUCAACCGAGAUUCCCCCAGUAGCGGCGAGCGAACGGGGAGGAGCCCAGAGCCUGAAUCAGCAUGUGUGUUAGUGGAAGCGUCUGGAAAGGCGCGCGAUACAGGGUGACAGCCCCGUACACAAAAGCGCAUGUGCUGUGAGCUCGAUGAGUAGGGCGGGACACGUGGUAUCCUGUCUGAAUAUGGGGGGACCAUCCUCCAAGGCUAAAUACUCCUGACUGACCGAUAGUGAACCAGUACCGUGAGGGAAAGGCGAAAAGAACCCCGGCGAGGGGAGUGAAAAAGAACCUGAAACCGUGUACGUACAAGCAGUGGGAGCCCCACCACUAAGCCAGUGGUGAACUCCACAUACGCAUCCUUUGCUGAGGAUACGGUUAACGGAGCGAAAGCGACGUUCAACCUCAAAAGAAGCAGAGGGGGCUUAGUGGUGGGGUGACUGCGUACCUUUUGUAUAAUGGGUCAGCGACUUAUAUUCUGUAGCAAGGUUAACCGAAUAGGGGAGCCGGAGGGAAACCGAGUCUUAAUUGGGCGUUAAGUUGCAGGGUAUAGACCCGAAACCCGGUGAUCUAGCCAUGGGCAGGUUGAAGGUUGGGUAACACUAACUGGAGGACCGAACCGACUAAUGUUGAAAAAUUAGCGGAUGACCUGUGGCUGGGGGUGAAAGGCCAAUCAAACCGGGAGAUAGCUGGUUCUCCCCGAAAGCUAUUUAGGUAGCGCCUCGUGAAUUCAUCUCCGGGGGUAGAGCACUGUUUCGGCUAGGGGGCCAUCCCGGCUUACCAACCCGAUGCAAACUGCGAAUACCGGAGAAUGUUAUCACGGGAGACACACGGCGGGUGCUAACGUCCGUCGUGAAGAGGGAAACAACCCAGACCGCCAGCUAAGGUCCCAAAGUCAUGGUUAAGUGGGAAACGAUGUGGGAAGGCCCAGACAGCCAGGAUGUUGGCUUAGAAGCAGCCAUCAUUUAAAGAAAGCGUAAUAGCUCACUGGUCGAGUCGGCCUGCGCGGAAGAUGUAACGGGGCUAAACCAUGCACCGAAGCUGCGGCAGCGACACUAGGUGUUGUUGGGUAGGGGAGCGUUCUGUAAGCCUGUGAAGGUGGCCUGUGAGGGUUGCUGGAGGUAUCAGAAGUGCGAAUGCUGACAUAAGUAACGAUAAAGCGGGUGAAAAGCCCGCUCGCCGGAAGACCAAGGGUUCCUGUCCAACGUUAAUCGGGGCAGGGUGAGUCGACCCCUAAGGCGAGGCCGAAAGGCGUAGUCGAUGGGAAACGGGUUAAUAUUCCCGUACUUGGUGUUACUGCGAAGGGGGGACGGAGAAGGCUAUGUUGGCCGGGCGACGGUUGUCCCGGUUUAAGCGUGUAGGUGUGUGUUCCAGGUAAAUCCGGUUCACUUUAACACUGAGGCGUGAUGACGAGGCACUACGGUGCUGAAGCAACAAAUGCCCUGCUUCCAGGAAAAGCCUCUAAGCAUCAGGUAACAUCAAAUCGUACCCCAAACCGACACAGGUGGUCAGGUAGAGAAUACCAAGGCGCUUGAGAGAACUCGGGUGAAGGAACUAGGCAAAAUGGUGCCGUAACUUCGGGAGAAGGCACGCUGACAUGUAGGUGAAGUGAUUUACUCAUGGAGCUGAAGUCAGUCGAAGAUACCAGCUGGCUGCAACUGUUUAUUAAAAACACAGCACUGUGCAAACACGAAAGUGGACGUAUACGGUGUGACGCCUGCCCGGUGCCGGAAGGUUAAUUGAUGGGGUCAGCGCAAGCGAAGCUCCUGAUCGAAGCCCCGGUAAACGGCGGCCGUAACUAUAACGGUCCUAAGGUAGCGAAAUUCCUUGUCGGGUAAGUUCCGACCUGCACGAAUGGCGUAAUGAUGGCCAGGCUGUCUCCACCCGAGACUCAGUGAAAUUGAACUCGCUGUGAAGAUGCAGUGUACCCGCGGCAAGACGGAAAGACCCCGUGAACCUUUACUAUAGCUUGACACUGAACAUUGAGCCUUGAUGUGUAGGAUAGGUGGGAGGCUUUGAAGUGUGGACGCCAGUCUGCAUGGAGCCGACCUUGAAAUACCACCCUUUAAUGUUUGAUGUUCUAACGUGGACCCGUAAUCCGGGUUGCGGACAGUGUCUGGUGGGUAGUUUGACUGGGGCGGUCUCCUCCUAAAGAGUAACGGAGGAGCACGAAGGUUGGCUAAUCCUGGUCGGACAUCAGGAGGUUAGUGCAAUGGCAUAAGCCAGCUUGACUGCGAGCGUGACGGCGCGAGCAGGUGCGAAAGCAGGUCAUAGUGAUCCGGUGGUUCUGAAUGGAAGGGCCAUCGCUCAACGGAUAAAAGGUACUCCGGGGAUAACAGGCUGAUACCGCCCAAGAGUUCAUAUCGACGGCGGUGUUUGGCACCUCGAUGUCGGCUCAUCACAUCCUGGGGCUGAAGUAGGUCCCAAGGGUAUGGCUGUUCGCCAUUUAAAGUGGUACGCGAGCUGGGUUUAGAACGUCGUGAGACAGUUCGGUCCCUAUCUGCCGUGGGCGCUGGAGAACUGAGGGGGGCUGCUCCUAGUACGAGAGGACCGGAGUGGACGCAUCACUGGUGUUCGGGUUGUCAUGCCAAUGGCACUGCCCGGUAGCUAAAUGCGGAAGAGAUAAGUGCUGAAAGCAUCUAAGCACGAAACUUGCCCCGAGAUGAGUUCUCCCUGAGACUUAGAGUCUCCUGAAGGAACGUUGAAGACGACGACGUUGAUAGGCCGGGUGUGUAAGCGCAGCGAUGCGUUGAGCUAACCGGUACUAAUGAACCGUGAGGCUUAACCUU
rnacentral:rRNA from 1 species